UGUUGUGGAAGGGGCAGGGGAACAGGCCUUUAUGAAGCCCGGGACAACCUUCAGUUCCCCAGAGAACCUCCCCAAGCGUCUGAGCCCCCUCCCGCCCCUCCCCCUACUCACAAAUAGGAGCUCUCAGAAAUGGAUCCGAUACAGCAGAUCCUCCAAUAACUGCGUUUUUUGUUCAACAUAGUUUCCAUAUCAUGUGGAUGAGAUGCCGUAGGGACUUAACUGUUGUUUCUUUCCCUUAGCCUAAGGAACUGUUCGUGGAGACUAUUGCGAAAGAUGCCUACUGCUGUGCGCAACAAGGAAAGAGGAAAACCCUCCAGAGGAGAGAUUUGGAUAAUGCAAUAGAAGCUGUGGAUGAAUUUGCUUUUCUGGAAGGUACUUUGGAUUGAUUGCUGAGCUGGGCACUUUUGUGAACCUUCGCCUGCAUCCUUCAGCUAGCCUUCUGCAGGCCUCAGCUUUGAAGAACAGAGUCCUUGGAAAGUCACACUUACAUACUUUUCCUGUUCUGGCUUCACCUAAGCUGGAAUAAACAGAGGUCUCACCUGUUCAUUUUCCUCUACAAGGUCUUCCACUGCUGUGUCUUCCAUUUCUGGCCUGGAUGCAGCAGCUGCUGCUUGAGGCAGAGACAAAGAAAAUGAUUUGUGUUGGUUGCUUACUGAAUGGUAGGGACAAGAAUAAAGGUCUCUGAUCAGCUUCAA